GACAGAGGAGCCAAGCGUUGUCCAGACUGACUGGGCGUAAAGGGCACGCAGGCGGUGCGACAAGUGGUGUGUGAAAGCGCUCGGCUUAACCGAGCGAGGCCAGGCCAAACUGUCGCACUGGAGCCAUGCAGAGGGUGGUGGAAUUGCCGGUGUAGUGGUGAAAUGCGUAGAGAUCGGCAGGAACACCAAGGGAGAAGUCAGCCACCUGGGCAUGUGCUGACGCUGAGGUGCGAAAGCGUGGGGAGCGAACUGG
rnacentral:rRNA from 1 species